rnacentral:rRNA from 1 species
GAUGAACGCUGGCGGCGUGCCUAAUACAUGCAAGUCGAGCGAACGGACGAGAAGCUUGCUUUUCUGAUGUUAGCGGCGGACGGGUGAGUAACACGUGGAUAACCUACCUAUAAGACUGGGAUAACUUCGGGAAACCGGAGCUAAUACCGGAUAAUAUUUUGAACCGCAUGGUUCAAAAGUGAAAGACGGUCUUGCUGUCACUUAUAGAUGGAUCCGCGCUGCAUUAGCUAGUUGGUAAGGUAACGGCUUACCAAGGCAACGAUGCAUAGCCGACCUGAGAGGGUGAUCGGCCACACUGGAACUGAGACACGGUCCAGACUCCUACGGGAGGCAGCAGUAGGGAAUCUUCCGCAAUGGGCGAAAGCCUGACGGAGCAACGCCGUGUGAGUGAUGAAGGUCUUCGGAUCGUAAAACUCUGUUAUUAGGGAAGAACAUAUGUGUAAGUAACUGUGCACAUCUUGACGGUACCUAAUCAGAAAGCCACGGCUAACUACGUG